CCCUUAGAUGUUCUGGGCCGCACGCGCGCUACACUGAUGCAUUCAACGAGCCUAUCCUUGACCGACAGGUCCGGGUAAUCUUUGAAUCUGCAUCGUGACGGGGAUAGAUUAUUGCAAUUAUUAAUCUUCAACGAGGAAUGCCUAGUAGGCGCAAGUCAUCAGCUUGCGUCGAUUACGUCCCUGCCCUUUGUACACACCGCCCGUCGCUCCUACCGAUUGGGUGUGCUGGCGAAAUGUUCGGAUCGGCCGUUUGUCGCGGUUUCCGCGUCAUGUGGCUGAGAAGUUCAUUAAACCCUCCCACCGAGAGGAAGGAGAAGUCGUAACA
rnacentral:rRNA from 1 species